UCUUGAAUCAGGCUGCUUUUCUUUUUUUUUUUUUUUAAGAAUUUAUUUAUUAUUUAUUAUAUGUAAGUACAUUGUAGCUGUCUUCAGACACACCAGAAGAGGGCACAUACCCCUUUCUAUCCUAA
rnacentral:scRNA from 1 species